rnacentral:rRNA from 1 species
UACGUAGGGGGCAAGCGUUGUCCGGAAUUAUUGGGCGUAAAGCGCACGCAGGCGGUUCGCCAAGUUUGGAGUGACAGUUGUCGGCUCAACCGACAAAGGACUUCAAAAACUGGUGAACUUGAGGACGAGAGAGGAACAUGGAACUCCAGGUGUAGUAGUGAAAUGCGUAGAUAUCUGGAAGAACACCAAUGGCGAAGGCAAUGUUCUGGCUCGUUUCUGACGCUCAGGUGCGAAAGCCAGGGGAGCGAACGGG